AGGAUUGAAGCCCAGCUGUUUUGUUUUGUCCUGCAGUUCUUUGAAUAUUCUACAGAUGGCGAGCUCCGUUACAAUACAAGGGAGCCUGCUGGAUGUGUUGCUCGUGACAGCAUGGACAUCUACCUGACUGUCCAGCUGUGCAGAAAACGAGGGCAACCUGUACCUGCAGAUCAGAAAUUUGUCCUCCGAGAGGAUGGGAGUCUGUACCAUGUGGCGAGCCAGAAGUGUGUUCAGGCAGUCGACAAAACAGACAACGGGACACCAGCCCCCACACUCCAACCCUGCUCAGACAGCCUCCAUCAAAAGUGGUUCUUUCAGGAGAGAAAGUAAUGGUUAUCAGCAUUGGUGUAGUGCUGCUGGAAGGCACCCGAACGACGCUCCGCCACUUAUUUUUUCUCCAAGAGAGGAGAAUAGGCCUAUUUGCAUAAUCUGCAUAUUGCAUAUUUUUGAAUAUUUUUUUCUUGGAGCCUACUGGAAUAUGAUUUUUUUUU